rnacentral:rRNA from 1 species
AUUGAACGCUGGCGGCAUGCCUUACACAUGCAAGUCGAACGGCAGCACGGGGCAACCUGGUGGCGAGUGGCGAACGGGUGAGUAAUGCAUCGGAACGUACCUUUCAGUGGGGGAUAACGUAGCGAAAGUUACGCUAAUACCGCAUAUUCUGUGAGCAGGAAAGCAGGGGAUCGCAAGACCUUGCGCUGAUUGAGCGGCCGAUGUCAGAUUAGCUAGUUGGUGAGGUAAAGGCUCACCAAGGCGACGAUCUGUAGCGGGUCUGAGAGGAUGAUCCGCCACACUGGAACUGAGACACGGUCCAGACUCCGACGGGGGGCAGGAGUGGGGAAUUUUGGACAAUGGGGGCAACCCUGAUCCAGCCAUGCCGCGUGAGUGAAGAAGGCCUUCGGGUUGUAAAGCUCUUUCGGCCGGGAAGAAAUCGCACGGGCUAAUACCCUGUGUGGAUGACGGUACCGGAAUAAGAAGCACCGGCUAACUACGUGCCAGCCGCCGCCGUAA